rnacentral:rRNA from 1 species
CACGUAGGAGGCGAGCGUUGUCCGGAAUUAUUGGGCGUAAAGGGCUCGUAGGCGGUUUGUCGCGUCGGGAGUGAAAACACCGGGCUUAACUCGGUGCUUGCUUUCGAUACGGGCAGACUAGAGGCAUGCAGGGGAGAACGGAAUUCCUGGUGUAGCGGUGAAAUGCGCAGAUAUCAGGAGGAACACCGGUGGCGAAGGCGGUUCUCUGGGCAUGUCCUGACGCUGAGGAGCGAAAGUGUGGGGAGCGAACAGG